rnacentral:rRNA from 1 species
UAAGUGAAGAGUUUGAUCCUGGCUCAGAGUGAACGCUGGCGGCAGGCCUAACACAUGCAAGUCGAACGGCAGCACAGCAGAGCUUGCUCUGUGGGUGGCGAGUGGCGGACGGGUGAGGAAUACGUCGGAAUCUGCCUAUUUGUGGGGGAUAACGUAGGGAAACUUACGCUAAUACCGCAUACGACCUACGGGUGAAAGCGGAGGACCUUCGGGCUUCGCGCAGAUAGAUGAGCCGACGUCGGAUUAGC